AUUGAACGCUGGCGGCAGGCUUAACACAUGCAAGUCGAGCGGAGAUGAGGUGCUUGCACCUUAUCUUAGCGGCGGACGGGUGAGUAAUGCUUAGGAAUCUGCCUAUUAGUGGGGGACAACAUUCCGAAAGGAAUGCUAAUACCGCAUACGCCCUACGGGGGAAAGCAGGGGAUCUUCGGACCUUGCGCUAAUAGAUGAGCCUAAGUCGGAUUAGCUAGUUGGUGGGGUAAAGGCCUACCAAGGCGACGAUCUGUAGGGGGUCUGAGAGGAUGAUCCGCCAGACUGGGACUGAGACACGGCCCAGACUCCAUCGGGAGGCAGCAGUGGGGAAUAUUGGACAAUGGGCGGAAGCCUGAUCCAGCCAUGCCGCGUGUGUGAAGAAGGCCUUUUGGUUGUAAAGCACUUUAAGCGAGGAGGAGGCUACCUGGAUUAAUACUCUAGGAUAGUGGACGUUACUCGCAGAAUAAGCACCGGCUAACUCUGUGCCAGCAGCCGCCGCGGUAA
rnacentral:rRNA from 1 species